AUACUUGAAAAUUACCUUUGAAUACAUUUUAUUUUGAGCAAAAAGAAUAGCUGAAAAUUAUUUAAAUCAAAGGUUGUUAUUUUUUCACAGAUUAAAGUACUUACAGAUAUAGGAUUUUUUACGGAGGCCUUUCAUGAACUGUCUUUGCUUAACUGUGGAGAGAGAAUUCCAUGGAAAAUACCUGCAGGAUACAGAAAAACUGAAGAAAUGAAGGACUUACAGAAAUUUGACUCCUCAGAAUCUCUCUUGACUGUUACAAAUUUACAGGUACUGGAAGACAUAUUUAAUUGGAGUCUGUCUUUAGCAAUGGUGCCACUGUGCAACCAACAAAUUAUGAAUAAAUUAACCUUAGCCAAAAUGCAUUUCAUCAUUUGCCUUUCUG
rnacentral:lncRNA from 1 species